rnacentral:rRNA from 1 species
UACGUAGGGUGCAAGCGUUGUCCGGAAUUAUUGGGCGUAAAGAGCUCGUAGGCGGUUUGUCGCGUCUGCUGUGAAAACUCGGGGCUUAACUCCGGGCCUGCAGUCGAUACGGGCAGACUGGAGUUCGGCAGGGGAGACUGGAAUUCCUGGUGUAGCGGUGGAAUGCGCAGAUAUCAGGAGGAACACCGGUGGCGAAGGCGGGUCUCUGGGCCGUUACUGACGCUGAGGAGCGAAAGCGUGGGGAGCGCACAGG